rnacentral:rRNA from 1 species
UACGUAGGUGGCAAGCGUUGUCCGGAAUUAUUGGGCGUAAAGCGCGCGCAGGUGGUUUCUUAAGUCUGAUGUGAAAGCCCACGGCUCAACCGUGGAGGGUCAUUGGAAACUGGGGAACUUGAGUGCAGAAGAGGAAAGUGGAAUUCCAAGUGUAGCGGUGAAAUGCGUAGAGAUUUGGAGGAACACUAGUGGCGAAGGCGGGUCUCUGGGCCGUAACUGACGCUGAGGAGCGAAAGCGUGGGGAGCGAACAGG